UACGUAGGGUGCGAGCGUUGUCCGGAAUUAUUGGGCGUAAAGGGCUCGUAGGCGGUUUGUCGCGUCGGGAGUGAAAUCCACUGGCUUAACUGGUGGCUUGCUUUCGAUACGGGCAGACUGGAGGUAUGCAGGGGGAGAACGGAAUUCCUGGUGUAGCGGUGAAAUGCGCAGAUAUCAGGAAGAACACCCGUGGCGAAAGCGGCUCUCUGGAACGGUACUGACGCUGAGACGCGAAAGCGUGGGGAGCGAACAGG
rnacentral:rRNA from 1 species